rnacentral:rRNA from 1 species
UACAGAGGUCUCAAGCGUUGUUCGGAUUCAUUGGGCGUAAAGGGUGCGUAGGCGGCGCGGUAAGUCGGGUGUGAAAUCUCGGGGCUUAACUCCGAAACUGCAUUCGAUACUGCCGUGCUUGAGGACUGGAGAGGAGACUGGAAUUACGGUGUAGCGGUGAAAUGCGUAGAUAUCGUAAGGAAGACCAGUGGCGAAGGCGGUCUCUGGACAGUUCCUGACGCUGAGGCACGAAGGCCCAGGGGAGCAAACGGG